rnacentral:rRNA from 2 species
CACGAUGGACAGCUCCUUAGCUUGCUUCUAUGACGUUAGCGGCGGACGGGUGAGUAACACGUGGGCAACCUGCCUGUAAGACUGGGAUAACUUCGGGAAACCGAAGCUAAUACCGGAUAGGAUCUUCUCCUUCAUGGGAGAUGAUUGAAAGAUGGUUUCGGCUAUCACUUACAGAUGGGCCCGCGGUGCAUUAGCUAGUUGGUGAGGUAACGGCUCACCAAGGCCACGAUGCAUAGCCGACCUGAGAGGGUGAUCGGCCACACUGGGACUGAGACACGGCCCAGACUCCUACGGGAGGCAGCAGUAGGGAAUCUUCCGCAAUGGACGAAAGUCUGACGGAGCAACGCCGCGUGAGUGAUGAAGGCUUUCGGGUCGUAAAACUCUGUUGUUAGGGAAGAACAAGUACAAGAGUAACUGCUUGUACCUUGACGGUACCUAACCAGAAAGCCACGGCUAACUACGUGCCAGCAGCCGCGGUAAUACGUAGGUGGCAAGCGUUAUCCGGAAUUAUUGGGCGUAAAGCGCGCGCAGGCGGUUUCUUAAGUCUGAUGUGAAAGCCCACGGCUCAACCGUGGAGGGUCAUUGGAAACUGGGGAACUUGAGUGCAGAAGAGAAAAGCGGAAUUCCACGUGUAGCGGUGAAAUGCGUAGAGAUGUGGAGGAACACCAGUGGCGAAGGCGGCUUUUUGGUCUGUAACUGACGCUGAGGCGCGAAAGCGUGGGGAGCAAACAGGAUUAGAUACCCUGGUAGUCCACGCCGUACACGAUGAGUGCUAAGUGUUAGAGGGUUUCCGCCCUUUAGUGCUGCAUCUAACGCAUUAAGCACUCCGCCUGGGGAGUACGGUCACGAGACAGAAACUCAAACGUAAUUGACGGGGGCCGCACCGCGGAGGAGCAUGUGGUUUAAUUAAA